GGGCCAAGCUGCAUCACAAUGGAAAAUCAUGGAAUCACAGGAAGAAUCCACUCAGCUUUGCAAGAUGCUGCCCAAGGGGUUGCUUGGAGUAACCAAAUUAACAUUUUUCAUUCUGCCCAGAGCAAAAUACAUGUGACAAAACAUAGACACGUGCCACUUUGCUCAGCACCCAGUAUCAAACUGCUUAUCCAAAUGUUCCAUUGGUCCCUGUUCAUCUUGCC
rnacentral:lncRNA from 10 species